UUCAGUGAGUCAGUGUAAAGAGACACAGAAUCUCAACCCCCAGGCCACUGUGACUUGGCUGGGGUGGCAUCUUCCAGCCCACAGCCAAGCCAUCAGCUCAGCUUACUUCCUAGACUGGGACCAAGAGCACCCUGGUCUACACACACAACCUAGCACUGCUUCCCAAAGCCAGCAGGCUCCACAGGACUGCAAACGGCUCAUACCCCUGCUGUGGCUCAGGCGUCUGCACCUCCUGAGACAGCAGUGCCCUCCUUAGCUUGUGGGUUCUGACAGGUUGCCUCGAACUUCUCAAACAACCUAGCAGGAAGUUAUGGCCAGCCCCCUCCUCCCCUCGGCCCCCAAGUCAAGAACAAAGAAACAGAGACACAUUUGGCAGUUUCUCCAGAUCUGCUGGGGCCUGGCCUCAAGGUCACAGGGGAAGGUAGUCACAACCCAUAAAAGUGACGGGAGACACAUCCCAUUGCCUGUGUUAUUCUUGGACUGAGGUUCCAUUCUGGAGACACUUGAGCCCCAGGAAUGGGAUCCCUGAGGGUGUUGCAUAUCUUCCUGUGGAUGGUGUGGGGGACACAUAGCAGAAUGGGGCUGGGGACCCUCAGGUUGUAUAAGCUCCAUCUCACUUUGUCCUGCAUGGCUGUUUGGCCCUCGUCUGUCUGAGCUCCCACCCAAAGAAUGGAUGGAGGUGACCAGGUGACAAGGUUAAGAAAUGACAUCCCAGCAGAGAGUGCAUGGGCCGGCGGGCCUGCAGUGGGAGGUGGUUGUCCUUCCCAGUAGGCUCAGGCUGGCCCACCUCAUUCUUUGAAUGUUUUGCCUGUGGCAGAGACCCCAGGCUGCUGCCGCCCUGUCACAGCCAGAGUCCGGUGUCAAGAAAGACUCCUGUGACCGAGCCAGGCACCGAGCUGAUUGGAAGCUGUGGCUGGCAGGCCAUCUCACGUCCUCACCUGGGUGACCAGGUACAAGGGGACCUCCAGGCAGAGCUGGAGGCCCAAGCUCGUUUGUUUUUGUGUUGGUGGGUGGACUACACCUCACUGGUUCUCAGUUUGCAGUGGGAGCAGCCUCAGCCUCCCCAGGCUGCCAAGUGAGAAUAUGGUUCCGGCUCCGGCCCGGCUCCGGCUCCGGCUCCGGCUCCGGCUCUGUAUUGUGGUUCCCUGAGCUUGGACCAUUUGGAUCCCAGCCCCUGUGGCCAUCACAUUCUUGCCAUCUCAGGGACCUGAGAGGGCACCCAAGAAAGGCAGGCUCCGGGCUGUUUCCCUGCUCUUUUUUAGAGUCCUCUGCUGGGGCACAGACUACAAUAUCCCAAUUCAACACACUUUUCUCUUUUUGUUUGCUUGUGUUUGUUUUUGUUUUUAGAGACAGGGUUUCUCUGUGUAGUUCUGGAUAUCCUGGAACUCACUCUGUAGACCAGGUUGGCCUCGAACUCACAGAGAUUAUUCUACCUCUGCUUCCUGAGUACAGAUAAAGGCGUGUGCCUGGCUUUCAACAACCUUUACUGUCUCUCUCUCUUUUUCCAGUUUUCUAUGACCAAAGGUCACAGUCCACAAGCACCCCCACCACCAAGUGCGGGAGCACAAAUGACCCCUGCCCCUUAUAGAAUAUUGCUUCUUCUACCAUUUCCUACACCUGGGGCCCUGCAGGCAGCCUUGUGCAUUCAACUGCUCACAUGUGAUGUGAUGCUUCUGAGUCAUGUGUGUCCUUAUGUGUGUCAAAGAUCCACCCCAGGCCCUGCUGAUCAGUCUUCUUCUUGUCCACUCAGCAGCUGAUGGACAGUUGGGCUGGUUGUGAAAAGACGACGCGGUGAUGUUGUCCAUUGCAGCCUGCAGAAAAAUCUCGCCUGCGUGUGUCAUCCCAUCUACGGCUCAAAUGUCGUGUCUGUCACUUAGUCGAUAAUACCGGAGCAUCUAUCUUCUUCAGUUCUGUUGGCCGACAGACACUAUGUGAGAUCCGCAAGCGAGUCCUCCGGCCUCUGGGAGCCUCAUUAAGGAGAACAGCGUGACAUCUCUCCAGGGUUCAGUUCAGGGCAACAUGUGAACAACACAUCGCCAUGACACCCAACACAUGCUGGAUGAAAAGUGAACCAAACUUGCGGAGUUCCUCUGAAACGGUAGGAGAGGAACCCUAAAACAGUGGACCUCAAAGAAUUACCAUUGCCACGGGGAAUCCCAUGAAUCACAGAGAGCCAGCCGAGGCCCUGACAGGGAGUUUCGCAGCCCUGGUGAACAAGGCUCUGGGUUUUCAUUUCGUCCUUUAUGUACAAAUUCUAACACUGACACAGGAAAAAGCAAGAAACUAGAAGGUUCUCUCUCCCCAGAGCUG